GACGAGGGAUCCUAGCGUUGUUCGGAAUCAUUGGGCGUAAAGCGCACGUAGGCGGCUUUUUAAGUCGGGGGUGAAAUCCUGGAGCUCAACUCCAGAACUGCCCUCGAUACUGAAGAGCUUGAGUUCGGGAGAGGUGAGUGGAACUGCGAGUGUAGAGGUGAAAUUCGUAGAUAUUCGCAAGAACACCAGUGGCGAAGGCGGCUCACUGGCCCGAUACUGACGCUGAGGUGCGAAAGCGUGGGGAGCAAACAGG
rnacentral:rRNA from 1 species